GCAGAACUACCAAGGUAUGGCAGUUGAGUGGCACUUCCUCAGAAUUCAGCCAUAGAAUCUGUCCCUUCUCUAAUGAAGUGUCCAUCAUCGUUUCUGCAAAUGUGUCAUGCAUCCUCACUAAAGGACUCAGUGACGUCCCAAAAACCUAUCAGUUAUUCUUGCCCAGGAACGGGAGGUGACCAGAGAGAAAGGAGGCCCCCGGAGAUGGAGGAUGCACACCAGUAAGGACAGUCAGUGCCUGUCACUCCAGGCCUCCUGACACCCAAGAAGGCUCCUCUCCAUUGUGUCGGCUGUCCCCCUGCAGCAGUAAGUUCCCGUGACAUGUCCUCACGGAGACUCGGUUUGUGCCUACUCACUUCUGCUCCCACUCAUCGCCUAAUCCGCCACCCUGUUAGAAUUCUUUCCACCACUGUCACAAUCUAUAGUUUCUUUGUUGCUUCAUUUUCUGUCAGCUCAACCAGAAUGUGCGCACUACAGCAGCAGGAGCCUCCCUGUCCAUUCUCAGCUGUGUGUGUUCCCGGUACAGCACAGUGCACACAGUAGGCACUCAACACGUGAUUUCUUGAAUAAAGGAAGAAAUGAGUGAGAAUAUUUUUUUCCAGUGAGCUUGAGAACAUCAUUUUCUCCACCGAAUCAAGCGCGGUGGUGUCCUUUGGCCACAUGGCCAAUGGGCGGAUUUUGCUGGAAUGUAUUGGUUUACAAAUGUUUAACUAUCAACUUACUUAUCUGCCUACUCUGAAAAUGAGAUUCUGCAUGAUUAAAAAAAAAAACGGCUUUGGAAUUUGUACUAAGCCAACUUUGUACACGGUACAGAAUGUUCUCAGAAGCAGCAGGACUCAUGAAUAAUAAGGCAGUGGCACUUCCUGGACUCGGCAGCCUUCCUUGGCCUGUGCUCUCCUGACCACAAACCUUUUGCCUGCUGACCUGGAUCUGAGUUCUCUCCUCCCUCAAGCGAGAUACCAGAUCAACUCUAAGGGAGCCACCUUUACCCUGGAUCUUGGCUGUCACUUGUAGUCGCCAUCAACUCUUCCUACACAAGCACACACUUAAAACACUGAUACUGUAUAAAAAGAACAUAAUUAACACCACAAACUGUGGCCGGCAGAGACCCUCACCAAAGCAGCAGUGUUCCAUUCUAACUGUUAAUGCUGGCUUACUCCAGAUGACCAAGCUGAAUGAACACAACCUGCAGGAAGCUUGAGUCUACUUCCCAGCAGACACCAGCCACGCAGAAGAAGCAUGGAGAGGAAGACUCUGACCUGGACUCAGGUUGGCUCUGGUUCAGAGCAUGCCUCUGAGAAGUCAGGUCCAAAGGCCCAAGAGUACAGACCAAGUCAAGGCUUCUUGUGCUUCUCAGCGCCACACAGAAGUAAUUCUCCACAGAUGCCCUUUGCAGCAGCCUACUCACACUGAAACAGACUUCCAGAGACUGAGGAAGCCUAGACUCACUCUACCUCUCACACGGGCAGAGGUAGUCUUAGAAGCCCCAGAUGUUCCCAGAAUGUGGCACUCAGGAGCUGGGACCUUGUUCCUGGACAGAAACAGGGUCUUACCCCUCCAUAGAAGGAAGGUGUCUGCAGUGGCCAGAGGCAGUGGCUCUUCUGAUGGGACAAAGGACAGUUGGGGACAGCAUUGGGGGCUGCAUGAUGGUGUCCGCAUCCCUGUGGUUCACCCUCACAGAAAUAAACAGUUAACAGCA